AACAAUAUGGCGAAAUUGGUAAACGCGCUUGACUCAGGAUCAAGUACCUUUUUAGGUUUGUAGGUUCGACUCCUACUCUUGUUA
rnacentral:tRNA from 1 species